rnacentral:tRNA from 2 species
GGGCCAUUAGCUCAGUUGGUUAGAGCGUCCGACUCAUAAUCGGCAGGUCGUAGGUUCAAGUCCUACAUGGCCCACCA